UACGUAGGGUGCAAGCGUUUGUCCGGAAUUAUUGGGCGUAAAGAGCUUGUAGGCGGUUUGUCGCGUCUGCUGUGAAAUUUCGGGGCUCAACCCCGAACUUGCAGUGGGUACGGGCAGACUAGAGUGUGGUAGGGGAGACUGGAAUUCCUGGUGUAGCGGUGAAAUGCGCAGAUAUCAGGAGGAACACCAUAUGGCAAGGCAGCUCGCUGGGACGGUACUGACGCUGAGACGCGAAAGCGUGGGGAGCAAACAGG
rnacentral:rRNA from 1 species